AGUCUUAAAUUAGGGUUUAGAUUGCAAAUCUGAAAGGGCUUUGUGUAAGCUAAGGCUU
rnacentral:tRNA from 1 species